CAGGCGGUGUGGCCGUGGGCCGCGGCGAUGCACAGGGGCGUGGGAGGAUGCACGAUUUCUGUCCCAGUGGGAAGGGAUGGCCUUCCAGUGGACGUGACCUCCCCUGCAUGGGGUCGGAAGGAUGAGAUGGCAAAGGUGGCUUGUAAUGAGAAGCAAAAGAAAAGAAAAAGGAAAAAGAAGAUUCUAGGUGAUAAAUGAGCAUCUUCAUCACUUUAGGUAAGGAACAAUUUUUAAAGUAGAACACAAUAAUUGAUUAAUUAUACUCUUUAAAUUAAUAACUAGUCAUCAAAAGAUACUAUUAAGAGAGGAAAAAAGCAAGCAAGCCAUAGAGUUAAGAAAGAUAUUUCCAGCAUAUAAAACUGACAGUGCACAUAUUUGGAUCAUAUAAGGAACUGAACUUCUAAAAAUCAAUAAGAAAAAGAGAGGCAACUCAGUAGAAAAAAGAGACUGGAAUGGAUACUCCAGAAGAGAAUAUCCAAGUAACAAUAAAUAGAUGAAAGGGGCUUAAUCUUAUUAGUCAGCAGAGAAACACAAAUUAAAGCUACACUGAAAUACCACUACACAGCCACGAGAAUGGGUACAAUUUGCAAAGACCAGUGUUUUUGAGGAUUUGGAGCAAUAUGGACUUCCAUACACUGCUAGGGUGUAAAUUGGUACAACUACUUUAGAAAACUGAGAUUAUCUACUCAAGUUGAAGUUACCCAAAAUUUUCACUCGCAGGUGAAUUGUGUACAGAAAUGCCCAACAGAAAUGUGUACCCAUGUCUAGGACACCUACUAGAAUAUUCAUAGUAGCAUUGUUCCUAAUAGCCCCAAACUGGAAACAAUCCCAAUGUCCAUCAACAGCAGAAUGGAUAAAUUAAUUGUGGGUAUAUUCCUACCAUGGAAAACAUACAGUAAUGAAGAUGAAUAUACUAUAGUUACUGGUAACAAGUAACAAGUUACUGGAUGACUCUUACAAUAUAAUAUUGAAUAAUGGAAGUUGUCAAAAACUUAAGAAUAAAUCCUGUAUUACACAACUUAUGUAAAGAUUAUGAAACAGGCAAAACCAAACUAUAGUGAUUACAGUCAAGAUCGUGAUUGCUGGCAGGGCAUGGUGGCUUAAACCUGUAAUCCCAGCACUUUGGGAGAUUGAGGUGGGAGGAUCACUUGAGCUCAAGAGUUUGAGGCCAGCCUGGGCAACAUAGGGAGAUCUCAUCUAUACUAAAAAAAAAAUAGCUGGAUGUGGUGGUGCAUGCCCGUAGUCACAGCUACUUGGGAGGCUGAGGUGGGAGGAUUGCUUGAGCCUGGUAGGUGGAGGCUGCAGUGAGCUGUGAUUACACCAUUGCACUCCUACCUGGGUUGCAGUGUGACCCUGAGACAGUGUGAAACCCUGUCUCAGAAAAAUAAAAAAGAUCAAAAAAAGAUCAUGAUUGCCUUGAAAGAGCAAGAGGAGGUAAUAAUUGGGAAGGGACAUAAGAGGAAUUUCUGGGAGUGUUUUAUUUCUUGAAUUGGGUGUUAAUUACAGGAUAAUUCGUGAUAAUUCACCAGCAUUUUUCCUGGUGUGUGUACUUUUCUAUUUGCAUCUUACACUUCAUAAUACAAAAAAUAAAUAAAUAAAAAUGGACUGUCUCAAAGAAAAAAAGCAAUGGAAACAGAUGCCAGGUAGAAAUAAUCAGAGGAGUUUGUAAUGAGAGUUUCUCCAUAAUUUGAAACCAAAAAAGAUGGGGCUGUAAGGAGUGGAGAUGUGGGUGAAGAUAUCCUCAGAUGGAUUAGGAAGAACAGGAAUUUCUGUUGUGAGUACCAGCAAGCUCCAUGGGGACUGGCUCUGGGCUGAAUUGUCCCUUAGCUCACCUUCUGAGCCUUACAUGUCAAAGGCCAAUCUGUCAGCACUGAGCAUCUGGUUUGGAUGAUAUUUGGUGUUCCCAAGACUUCCCACUUCUUCCCCUCUUCCCCUUAUUGACCCUUAGUGGUCUAGGUACGCAAAAAUUCCACUGAAAAGAGAGAUCCUACAAUGAAUUAGUACAAGGUAGGCAGUCCAGUAGAAAAAUGGGCAAGAACUUGUAGUGGAAUGGUAGUGUAAAGAGAAACAACAAAGAAACAACUAUUUUAAAUCAGGAGGAAAUUACCCAAUGUGUUGGGUAGUGGCAGAGGCAUUGCCUACUAUUAUAUAAUAAAUAAAUAGAUUUAAUGUACAUAUUGCACUUUGUAGUUUGUAAAUCAACAACACACAGUCUUUUCAAAUAUCUACAGGUUUGUUUUUGCAUGGACAUAUGUUCAUAUCCUAGGCCAUACAGAAAAUAUUAAUAAUUUUCAAACAAAUGUAUUUAUUCUCUGGCCACAAGUGAAUAAAAUGAAAACAUAUCAGCACUCUUAGAAAAAUCAAAAAUCACCAAAACACUUGGAUAUUAAAAAAAAAAACAAAAACAGGCCAGGCACGGUGGCUCACGCCUGUAAUCCCAGCACUUUGGGAGGCUGAGGUGGGCAGAUCAUGUGAGGUCAGGAGUUCAAGACCAGCCUGGCUGACAUGGUGAAACCCCAUCUCUACUACAAAUACAAAAAAUUACCCAGGUAUGGUGGCAGGCUCCUGUAAUCCCAACUACUUGGGAGGCUGAGGUAGGAGAAUUGCUUGAACCCAAGAGGUGGAGGUUGCAGUGAGCUGAGAUCUCACCACUGAACUCCAGCCUGGGUGACAGAACAAGACAUCACCUCAAAACAAACAAACAAACAAACAAAAAUUUUAAAUGAAUAACUUACAGGUUACAGAAGAAAUCAAAUCAGUAAUAAGAUAUUUAGCUUCAAAUGAAUGUCAGUGAGAGUACAUCAAAAAAUUUGUGGAAGGUAGCCAAAGUUGUCUUCAGAAGAAAAUUUGUAGCCUUAAAUGUCUUUAUUAUGAAACAAGGAAAGAAGGGAAAUAAAAGAACUAAGCACUUUUACAACAGAGAAAAUAAUAUAAAAAUAAAACUAAAAAGGCAAGAAUAUAGAACUAACAAAUUUAGAAAUGAAGGAAAUAAAUAGAAAAAUAGUUCAAAUGAUUGAAAAACUAAAUAUCUUUUAAAAAAGAAAAUGUAAAAAAAAACCUCUACCAAGGUCAAUUAAAAAAAAAAAAGAGAAUGAGCACAGAUACAUAGCGUUUGGGAAAGGAAGCUAAAACUAGAUAGUAAAAUUUUUAAUAUUUAAAAAAAUAUAUUUUAAUUCACUUGAAAGUGUUAAUGAAAUGGAUAAUUUUUCAGGAAAAUAAAAAGAAACAAAAAUGAAAUAAUGGGGGAGGCUGAGGCAGGAGAAUGGUGUGAACCCGGGAGGCUGAGCUUGC
rnacentral:lncRNA from 10 species